rnacentral:rRNA from 1 species
AACUUAUAAAAGCGACCUCAGUUCGGAUUGAAGGCUGAAAUUCGCCUUCAUGAAGUCGGAAUUGCUAGUAAUGGCAGGUCAGCAUACUGCCGUGAAUACGUUCCCGGGCCUUGUACACACCGCCCGUCACACCAUGAGAGUUGGAGAUACCCGAAGCCUAUGAGCUAACUUUUAGAGGCAGUAGUCGAAGGUAGAAUCAAUGAUUGGGGUGAAGUCGUAACAAGGUAUC